rnacentral:rRNA from 1 species
AAUGGGGGAAACCCUGAUGGUGCGACGCCGCGUGGGGGAUAAGGUCUUCGGAUUGUAAACCCCUGUCAUGUGGGACAUUAAAAGAUAGUACCACAAGAGGAAGAGACGGCUAACUCUGUGCCAGCAGCCGCGGUAAUACAGAGGUCUCAAGCGUUGUUCGGAAUCACUGGGCGUAAAGCGUGCGUAGGCGGUUUCGUAAGUCGUGUGUGAAAGGCGGGGGCUCAACCCCCGGACUGCACAUGAUACUGCGAGACUAGAGUAAUGGAGGGGGAACCGGAAUUCUCGGUGUAGCAGUGAAAUGCGUAGAUAUCGAGAGG